rnacentral:rRNA from 1 species
GUGGCGAACGGGUGAGUAACGCGUUGGUGACCUGCCCCAAAGCGGGGGAUAACAGCCUGAAAGGGUUGCUAAUACCGCAUAUGGUCUAGAGAGAUUAGAAGCUUUAGAUUAAAGGAGAAAUCCACUUUGGGAGGGGCCUGCGUCCCAUCAGCUAGUUGGUAGGGUAAAAGCCUACCAAGGCGAUGACGGGUAGGGGACCUGAGAGGGUGACCCCCCACAAUGGAACUGAAACACGGUCCAUACACCUACGGGUGGCAGCAGUAGGGAAUAUUGCACCAUGGGCGAAAGCCUGAUGCAGCAACGCCGCGUGAGUGACGAAGGCCCUCGGGUCGUAAAACUCUUUUCAAGAGGAAGAGGAAGGACGGUACUCUUGGAAUAAGCCUCGGCUAACUACGUGCCAGCAGCCGCGGUAACACGUAGGAGGCGAGCGUUAUUCGGAUUUACUGGGCGUAAAGCGCGUGUAGGCGGCUCUAUAAGUUGGAUGUGAAAGCUCCCGGCUUAACUGGGAGAGGACGUUCAAAACUAUAGAGCUUGAGUACGAGAGAGGAAAAUGGAAUUCCGGGUGUAGUGGUGAAAUGCGUAGAUAUCCGGAGGAACACCAGUGGCGAAGGCGAUUUUCUGGCUCGAGACUGACGCUCAGACGCGAAAGCUAGGGUAGCAAACGGGAUUAGAGACCCCGGUAGUCCUAGCUGUAAACGAUGUAGACUUGGCGUUGGUGGAGUAAAAUCCAUCAGUGCCGCAGCAAACGCGAUAAGUCUACCGCCUGGGGACUACGGCCGCAAGGUUAAAACUCAAAGGAAUUGACGGGGCCCCGCACAAGCAGCGGAGCGUGUGGUUUAAUUCGAUGCUACACG